rnacentral:rRNA from 1 species
AACGAACGCUUGCGGCGCGCCUAAUACAUGCAAGUCGAACGAGAAAGCACUUCGGUGUGAGUACAGUGGCGGACGGGUGAGGAACACGUAGAUAACUUGCCUCUUAGAGGGGAAUAACUACUCGAAAGAGUAGCUAAUACCGCAUAAGACCACAGUGACCACGGUCACAGGGGUUAAAAUUUUUUGCUAAGAGAUGGGUCUGCGUACGAUUAGCUUGUUGGUGAGGUAAUGGCUCACCAAGGCUCCGAUCGUUAGCUGGUCUGAGAGGAUGAUCAGCCACACUGGGACUGAGACACGGCCCAGACUCCUACGGGAGGCAGCAGUAGGGAAUAUUGCACAAUGGGGGAAACCCUGAUGCAGCGACGCCGCGUGAGUGAUGAAGGCCUUCGGGUUGUAAAACUCUGUGAUAAGAGAAGAUAAUGACGGUAUCUUAUCAGAAAGGACCGGCUAACUUCG